AAAAAAUUAAGGUUAAGUUGAAGUUAUAUAUUUUUCAAAUUGGUAUCAAUACAUUUACUCUAACAAUCUGCUCUCUACUACCAUUACAUAAGAAGAUGGAGUAUCUUUGGUCGAGCUGUAUUUUUCAAUGAAAACGUGAUGAAGAAGGAAGAUGUACAAGAUGUCCUCACGUCAAGGAAUAGUUCCUUUCAAUAAGUGAUCCGUACAAGUACAAGUGAGAGGUAAAGAUCGAGGCAACACCACCAAGCCAUUCUCUAUUGAGGAGACCCACCCCUUAUUACAUGCCUCACCCACAUCCAGAGUAUCCUCACGUCCAGGAAUUGUUACAUUUUAAUAUGUGAUCAAGAAGAAG